rnacentral:rRNA from 1 species
GACGUAGGGAGCAAGCGUUGUCCGGAUUUAUUGGGCGUAAAGGGCUCGUAGGCGGUUCCGUAAGUCGGGUGUGAAGACUCAAGGCUCAACCUUGAGACGCCAUUCGAUACUGCGGUGACUUGGGUUCGGUAGAGGAGUGUGGAAUUUCUGGUGUAGCGGUGAAAUGCAUAGAUAUCAGAAGGAACACCAACGGCGAAGGCAGCACUCUGGGCCGAUACUGACGCUGAGGAGCGAAAGCGUGGGGAGCGAACAGG